AAUUAAUAGUGUAGCCCCCGUGAGACUCUUGUUACUUUGCAUAAAGCCAGAGUUUUAGUGUGGGGUCAUUCACCUGUGGUGGCUUUGAAAAAUAGCAGCAAUAAUACAACCCAAAAAAAGAAAAAAAAAAGAUAAAAUAGUGGAGAAAGGGAGGGAGAGAUGGGAGGAGUAUAGUACUGUACGGAGUGUGAGGGUGGGAGAGAUGGGGAGAGUGAAACACACACACACACACACACUCACACGCACAAACACACAGAGAGGGUGCAGAUAGCGGGAGGGGAAAACCUCCUCUCUGAAAGGGAUGAUGUCAGUCUCUGCAGCUGAGCCCCAGUUCCCGACUCUCUCUGCCUCCUGAAAACACACUGGCAGGCUGAUCCACAAAGAGGGGAGGAAGGGGAAACUUCGAGGGGGAGAGCCCCAGCGACAGAAACCCCCGCAGCUCCUGACCAGACGGACCGCGGUGGGCGGGGGGGAUUUUCACCAGCGCACAAAGAAGAAGCAGGGGGACGAGGUUCAGGUCUCGUGACAAUUCAGGAAUAGGAAGAUGUGAGACUCUCCUCCUCCAUGUUUGCAGUCUCUGAGUUCUACAUGCAAGCCAUGGUGUAAUAUGGCUUUUUAUUCCUAUGUGAGGAUGAAAAAUAUUCAUGUAGGAAUAGAAGCUGUUUUACAUGUGGUGAGAGAGCAGCGCAACACAAGUGAGAGCCGCUGGCCGCUCACGGAGACAGAUGCACGACUGGAUAAAUGUAUCUGUCUUCUAUUAAAUGCUUCCCUGUAGUAAAAAAAAAAAAAAAAAAAGGUACAUUUUUGCUCAUUUUU